rnacentral:lncRNA from 1 species
UCAGGCCCUGGCCCUGCCGUGGCGCUGCAGGAACAAUCCCACCUCUGUGCACCUGGCCCGGCCUGCUCUGCCACUCUCCCGCGACGGCAGAACCCGUCCGGCCGCCCUGGGCAGCCCCGGCCUCCCUUCUGCUCCUGGCUGAGAGAACAGAAAACCCGUCCGGCGGGUUUGGCCGAACUCUGCCUGCGCGGCUCACACGCUGCUCGCUCCUGCCCCUGCGGUGGGAGCCUCAGCGCUCAGCACGGAGGUGGACGGAGGUCCUGGAGCCACCAGGCCCUGCGCCCCCACCCCCCACAGCAGGCUGGAAGCACAGGGCCAGCAGAGGCAAUGGAGAGCUUCGCGGAGGCCCUGAACCGGCUGAAGGACGCGCACGAGAAAGAGGUGCUGGGCCUACAGAGCAAGCUCGCGGAACUGAACACCGAGAGGUGCCGGGAUGCUCAGCGGAUCGAGGAGCUGUUUGCCAAGAACCAGCAGCUCCGGGAGCAGCAGAGGCGCUGAAGGAGAAACUGCGGGUGCUGGA